UACGUAGGAUGCAAGCGUUUGUCCGGAAUUAUUGGGCGUAAAGAGCGAGCAGGCGGUUUGGAAAGUUGGACGUGAAAUUUUAGGGCUUAACCCUAAAGGGUCGUCCAAAACUCCCAGACUAGAGUGCAGGAGAGGAAAGCGGAAUUCCCGGUGUAGUGGUGAAAUGCGUAGAUAUCGGGAGGAACACCAGAGGCGAAGGCGGCUUUCUGGCCUGUAACUGACGCUGAGGCGCGAAGGCUGGGGUAGCGAACAGG
rnacentral:rRNA from 1 species